CCCUAGUAACUGCGAGUGAAGCGGGAAAAGCUCAAAUUUAAAAUCUGGCAGUCUCUGGCUGUCCGAGUUGUAAUCUAGAGAAGUAAUGCCCGUGCUGGACCGUGUAUAAGUCUCCUGGGAUGGGGCGUCAUAGAGGGUGAGAAUCCCGUCUUUGACACGGACUACCAGUGCAUUGUGGUAUGCUCUCAAAGAGUCGAGUUGUUUGGGAAUGCAGCUCAAAAUGGGUGGUAAAUUCCAUCUAAAGCUAAAUAUUGGCGAGAGACCGAUAGCGAACAAGUACCGUGAGGGAAAGAUGAAAAGAACUUUGGAAAGAGAGUUAAACAGUACGUGAAAUUGCUGAAAGGGAAACGCUUGAAGUCAGUCGCGUUGGCUGGAAAUCAGCCUUGCUUUUGCAUGGUGUAUUUUCUGGUUGACGGGUCAGCAUCAAUUUUGACCGCUGGAAAAAGGCCUGGGGAAUGUGGCAGCUUCGGCUGUGUUAUAGCCCCUAGUCACAUACAGUGGUUGGGAUUGAGGAACUCAGCACGCCGCAAGGCCGGGUUUCGACCACGACCGUGCUUAGGAUGCUGGCAUAAUGGCUUUAAGCGACCCGUCUUGAAACACGGACCAAGGAGUCUAACAUGCCUGCGAGUAUUUGGGUGGAAAACUCAAGUGCGUAAUGAAAGUGAAAGUUGAGAUCCCUGUCGUGGGGAGCAUCGACGCCCGGACCAGAACUUUUGGGACGGAUCCGCGGUGGAGCAUGUAUGUUGGGACCCGAAAGAUGGUGAACUAUGCCUGAAUAGGGUGAAGCCAGAGGAAACUCUGGUGGAGGCUCGUAGCGAUUCUGACGUGCAAAUCGAUCGUCAAAUUUGGGUAUAGGGGCGAAAGACUAAUCGAACCAUCUAGUAGCUGGUUCCUGC
rnacentral:rRNA from 1 species